AUCCGAAGAUUCCCGAAUAGGGCAACCUCCUCUGCCUACCUUGCGGUAGGCAAAGAAACGAGAACUCCUUUUUGAAUUCAUAGAAAAGGAAGAGGCAACCCGGUGAACUGAAACAUCUCAGUAGCCGGAGGAAAAGGAAGCAAAAGCGAUUCCCGUAGUAGCGGCGAGCGAAGUGGGAAUAGCCUAAACUACCUGCUUAUUCAGCAGGUGGGGUCGUGGGAAUCCAAUGCGCUGCUGGGGUAAGUUAUUGCUGCGCUAAAUCGCUGUUUUACGGCGAGUUAGCGCAGCAAUUCCUAAGGGGAUGGAAUCCCCAAUUCUCCAGCAGAAGUAGAAAGAAAAAAAGACGAAGCAGCUGAAUCCUGCACCAUAGAUGGUGAAAGUCCAGUAGUCGACAGUUUCAAAAUUUGAGAAAAUCCCGAGUAGCAUGGGGCACGUGGAAUCCCGUGUGAAUCUGCGAGGACCACCUCGUAAGGCUAAAUACUCCUGAGUGACCGAUAGUGAAGAAGUACAGCGAUGGAAAGGUGAAAUAGAACCCCCGUAGGGGAGUGAAAAAGAACAUGAAACCGUAAGCUGACAAGCAGUUGGAGGAUACAUUAUAUCUGACAGCGUGCCUGUUGAAGAAUGAGCCGGCGACUUAUAGGAUGUGGCAGGGUUAAGGAAGAACCUCCGGAGCCCAAGCGAAAGCGAGUCUGAACAGGGCGUCAAGUCACUUCUUAUGGACCCGAACCUGGAUGAUCUAAUGAUCUCCCCGAAAUGCGUUGAGGCGCAGCGGCGACGAUGUCCUGUCUAAAGGUAGAGCGACUGUUUCGGUGCGGGCUGCGAAAGCGGUACCAAGUCGUGGCAAACUCCGAAUAUUAGGCAUUGGAUUCCGUGAGCCAGUGAGACUGUGGGAGAUAAGUUUCAUAGUCGAGAGGGAAACAGCCCAGACCAUCAGCUAAGGCCCCUAAAUGGCUGCUAAGUGGAAAAGGAUGUGAGAAUGCUGAAACAACCAGGAGGUUCGCUUAGAAGCAGCCAUCCUUUAAAGAGUGCGUAAUAGCUCACUGGUAAAGCGUUCUUGCGCCGACAAUGGCCGGGACUAAGCAGCCUGCCGAAGCUAUGGGAUUUGUUCAUCUCUAUAUAAUAGAUAAUAAUAGAUAUAAUAGAGAAAGUGAAUCGGUAGGGGAGCGUUCUGCAGUGGGUGAAGCUUUGACGUAAGUUUGAGUGGACAGUGCAGAAGUGAGAAUGUCGGCUUGAGUAACGAAAACAUUGGUGAGAAUCCAAUGCACCGAAAACCUAAGGGUUCCUCUACAAGGUUCGUCCGUGGGGGGUGAGUCAGGACCUAAGGCAAGGCCGAGCGGCGUAGUCGAUGGCAAACAGGCGAAUAUUCCUGUACUCAUUUUUGUGGGUCCCGAGGGACGAAGGAAGCUAAAUUGGGUCUAUAGUUGGAUUGUAGUGGAAGCGUUCAAAGUGAUGAGAGGUCGAAGAAAAACGAAUCUUGAGCUGAGGCGUAAUCCCGCUUUCUAGACUUGCUCUAGAUAAGCGCCAAUGAUGUUCUGCUUCCAAGAAAAGCUCGUACACCUAUGCUGGGCUCCGCUCAGUAUAAAACACAAAAAUGACCUGUACCAUAAACCGACACAGGUAGGUUGGUAGAGAAUACUGAGGGGCGCGAGAGAACUCUCUCUAAGGAACUCGGCAAACUGGCCCCGUAACUUCGGGAGAAGGGGCGCCCUUUCUGUGAAAAGGAAGGGCCGCAGGGUAUCGGUUCUGGCAACUGUUUAUCAAAGACACAGGUCUCCGCAAAGUCGUAAGACAAUAUAUGGGGGCUGACGCCUGCCCAGUGCCGGAAGGUCAAGGAAGUUGGCUAGAGUUUUUCGAAGCUGACGACCGAAGCCCCGGUGAACGGCGGCUGUAACUAUGACAGUCCUAAGGUAGCGAAAUUCAUUGUCGAGUAAGUUUCGACCUGCACGAAGGGCGUAAUGAUCAGAACGCUGUCUCGGAGAGAGACUCGGUGAAAUAGACUUGUCCGUGAAGAUGCGGACUACUAAUACUUGGACAGAAAGACCCUAUGAAGCUUGACUGUAUCUUGGAAUUGGGUUCGGGCUUUUCUUGCGCAGCCUAGGUGGGAGGCGUUGAAGAUUUCCUUCCGGGGAAGUUGGAGCCAUCAGUGAGAGACCACUCUGGAAAGGCUAGAAUCCUAAUGGUGAUCCUUGAAUCAGGACACUUGACAGUUUCAGGUGGGCAGUUUCUCUGGGGCGGAGGCCUCAUAAAAGGUAACUGAGGCGCGCAAAGGUCCCCUCAGUCUGGACGGAAAUCAGACAUUGAGUGUAAAGGCAAAAGGGGGCUUGACUGCAAGACCUACAAGUCGAGCAGGAGCGAAAGCUGGCCAUAGUGAUCCGACGGUACCGAGUGGAAGGGCCGUCGCUCAACGAAUAAAAGUUACUCUAGGGAUAACAGGCUGAUCUUCUCCAAGAGUUCACAUCGACGAGAAGGUUUGGCACCUCGAUGUCGGCUCAUCACAUCCUGGGGCUGUAGUAGGUCCCAAGGGUUGGGCUGUUCGCCCAUUAAAGUGGUACGUGAGCUGGGUUCAGAACGU
rnacentral:rRNA from 1 species